AACGCGAAGAACCUUACCCAGGCUUGACAUGCAGAGGAAUGGCGUAGAGAUAUGCCAGCCCGCAAGGGCUUUUGCACAGGUGCUGCAUGGCUGUCGUCAGCUCGUGCUGUGAGGUGUUGGGUUAAGUCCCGCAACGAGCGCAACCCUUAUCAUUAGUUGCCAACACGUGAAGGUGGGAACUCUAAUGAGACUGCCCAGGUUAACUGGGAGGAAGGUGAGGAUGACGUCAAGUCCGCAUGGCCCUUACGUCUGGGGCUACACACGUGCUACAAUGGCCGGUACAGAAGGCAGCGAAACCGCGAGGUGAAGCAAAUCCUAGAAAGCCGGUCUCAGUUCAGAUUGUAGUCUGCAACUCGACUACAUGAAGUCGGAAUUGCUAGUAAUGGCGUGUCAGCUACAACGCCGUGAAUACGUUCCCGGGCCUUGUACACACCGUAGUAC
rnacentral:rRNA from 1 species